rnacentral:rRNA from 1 species
UACAGAGGUCCCGAGCGUUGUUCGGAUUCACUGGGCGUAAAGGGUGCGUAGGUGGUUGGGCAAGUCUGAUGUGAAAGCCCCCGGCUCAACCGGGGAAGUGCAUCCGAAACUGGCAGGCUAGAGUACGAAAGAGGGUCGCGGAAUUCCCGGUGUAGAGGUGAAAUUCGUAGAUAUCGGGAGGAACACCGGUGGCGAAGGCGGCGACCUGGGUCGAUACUGACGCUGAGGUGCGAAAGCGUGGGGAGCAAACAGG